rnacentral:tRNA from 1 species
UGGCCCGUAGCUUAAUUGGCAGAGCACGCGACUGUUAAUCGCGCCGUUGAAGGUUCGAGUCCUUCCGGGCCAGC